rnacentral:lncRNA from 1 species
UAAUUAAAAUCAUAUCUUGUUAUUGUUUUAGACUUCUUUUGAUUCGGAUGUAAGUAAGAACUGCUUAUUUCAGAAAUAAGUAUAAAUAGGAACUAAAGUAAAUUUUGUUUGGAUGAGAAUUGGAUUAUUUUUAGAAAUUAUAAGGUAAAUAAUGUUUAGAUGAUUAGAUUGAAAUUGCGGAAAUAAAAGUAAUGAUAAUUUUAAAUUAAUAAUAUUUUAUCUAAUUACUUAAUAUGAAAAUAUUAAUUAAAAAUAAUUUAAUAAAUUAAAAAAUUUAUUAGCUAUAAAUAUUGUGUAUAGACUGAAAAAAAUAUUAACUAAUUAAUUAUAUUAUAUUAUAUUAUUUAUUUAUUUAAUUAUAAAAUAUAACUUAACUUUUUAAUUAAUUUUUCAAUUAUUUAAUUAGUUUUGAUGAUUUGUU